ACCGGCGCACGGGUGAGUAACGCGUAUGCGACCUGCCCUGCACAGGGGGAUAACCCGGAGAAAUCCGGACUAAUACCACAUGCCCCGUUGGAGCUGCAUGGCUCUUACGGGAAAGGAGGCGACUCCGGUGCAGGAUGGGCAUGCGUGACAUUAGCUAGUCGGCGGGGUAACGGCCCACCGAGGCGACGAUGUCUAGGGGUUCUGAGAGGAAGGUCCCCCACACUGGUACUGAGACACGGACCAGACUCCUACGGGAGGCAGCAGUGAGGAAUAUUGGUCAAUGGUCGGGAGACUGAACCAGCCAAGCCGCGUGAGGGAUGAAGGUACAGAGUAUCGUAAACCUCUUUUGUCAGGGAACAAAGGCGGGGACGUGUCCCCGGAUGAGUGUACCUGAAGAAAAAGCAUCGGCUAACUCCGUGCCAGCAGCCGCGGUAAUACGGAGGAUGCGAGCGUUAUCCGGAUUUAUUGGGUUUAAAGGGUGCGCAGGCGGUCUGUUAAGUCAGCGGUCAAAGCCCGGGGCUCAACCCCGGCCCGCCGUUGAAACUGGCAGUCUCGAGUUGGAGAGAAGUAUGCGGAAUGCGCGGUGUAGCGGUGAAAUGCAUAGAUAUCGCGCAAAACUCCGAUUGCGAAGGCAGCAUGCCGGCUCCACACUGACGCUUANGCACGAAAGCGUGGGUAUCGAACAGGAUUAGAUACCCUGGUA
rnacentral:rRNA from 1 species